rnacentral:rRNA from 1 species
UACGGGGGGGGCAAGCGUUGUUCGGAAUUACUGGGCGUAAAGGGCUCGUAGGUGGCCAACUAAGUCAGACGUGAAAUCCCUCGGCUUAACCGGGGAACUGCGUCUGAUACUGGAUGGCUUGAGUUUGGGAGAGGGACGCGGAAUUCCAGGUGUAGCGGUGAAAUGCGUAGAGAUCGGGAGGAAGGCCGGUGGCGAAGGCGGCGCUCUGGAACAUUUCUGACGCUGAGGCGCGAAAGCGUGGGGAGCAAACAGGG